AAGUCGUAACAAGGUUUCCGUAGGUGAACCUGCGGAAGGAUCAUUACCUUUGGCUGCCGUGAGCGCUUCGGCGUGAGCGACAGUCAUUCUAUAGCGAUGCCUCCGUGUCCGGGAAACCGGCGCGGGGCUGACCUAACCCUUCUCUACGAGUACCUAUUAUUCUCCUUCGGCGGGGUCUACCCGCCGCUGGAACUUCAAGAACCAACUUGCAUUUAGCAUUACCUGUUCUGAUAACAAUUAAUUAUUACAACUUUCAACAAUGGAUCUCUUGGCUCUG
rnacentral:misc_RNA from 2 species